rnacentral:tRNA from 1 species
GGCCUCGUAGCUCAACCGGUAGAGUUUGCAUUGUACGAAAAGCAUAGGCGGUGUCUAUUCAUGGGUUCGAAUCCCACCGAGGCUA